AAGGAGUCUAACAUCUAUGCGAGCGUUUGGGUGUCAAACCCAUACGCGUAAUGAAAGUGAACGGAGGUGAGAACCCUUAAGGGUGCAUCAUCGACCGAUCCUGAUGUCUUCGGAUGGAUUUGAGUAAGAGCAUAGCUGUUGGGACCCGAAAGAUGGUGAACUAUGCGUGAAUAAGGUGAAGCCAGAGGAAACUCUGGUGGAGGCUCGCAGCGGUUCUGACGUGCAAAUCGAUCGUCAAAUUUGCGUAUAGGGGCGAAAGACUAAUCGAACCAUCUAGUAGCUGGUUCCUGC
rnacentral:misc_RNA from 1 species